rnacentral:sRNA from 1 species
GUGCUCGCGCACCCCAAGAUGGCUGGGAGACAGGAAGAGCAGAGAGCGAGCCCGCCCUUGAGGGCGGAAGGCAAGGCCGACGCGGAGGUUAAGCUCAUUCUGUACCACUGGACGCAUUCCUUCAGCUCUCAAAAGGUGCGCUUGGUAAUUGCUGAAAAGGCAUUGAAGUGCGAGGAACAUGAUGUAAGUCUGCCCUUGAGUGAGCACAAUGAGCCUUGGUUUAUGCGUUUGAACUCAACUGGAGAAGUGCCUGUCCUUAUCCACGGGGAAAACAUAAUUUGUGAGGCCACUCAGAUCAUUGAUUAUCUUGAACAGACUUUCCUGGAUGGCCAAAUUGGAAACACAGAGUCUGAGCUGAAGAAACUUGCUGAAGAAAACCCAGAUUUACAAGAAGCAUACAUUGCAAAACAGAAACGACUUAAAUCAAAGCUGCUUGAUCAUGACAAUGUCAAGUAUUUGAAGAAAAUUCUUGAUGAGUUGGAGAAAGUCUUGGAUCAGGUUGAAACUGAAUUGCAAAGAAGAAAUGAAGAAACCCCAGAAGAGGGCCAGCAACCUUGGCUCUGCGGUGAAUCCUUCACCCUGG